UGGGAGAGACCGGACCGCUCCCUGCAGAGCGGAACGGAGCCGAAGGUGCUAGAGCGAUAAACUCUCAGGCAAAAGGACUGGAU
rnacentral:ncRNA from 1 species